GCGACCGGCAAACGGGUGAGUAAUACAUACGUAACUUUCCUUAUGCUGAGGGAUAGCCUGAGGAAACUUGGAUUAAUACCUCAUAAUACAAUAUUUAUAAAGAAAUAUUGUAAAGUUUAUUAUGGCAUAAGAUAGGCGUAUGUCCAAUUAGUUAGUUGGUAAGGUAAUAGCUUACCAAGACUAUGAUUGGUAGGGGGCCUGAGAGGGGCGUUCCCCCACAUUGGUACUGAGACACGGACCAA
rnacentral:rRNA from 1 species